CACGUAGGGGACGAGCGUUGUCCGGAUUCAUUGGGCGUAAAGCGCACGUAGGCGGCUUGGUAUGUCGGGUGUGAAAUCCCCGGGCUCAACCUGGGAACUGCAUCCGAAACUGCCUUGCUCGAGUAUGGGAGAGGGAAGUGGAAUUUCCGGUGUAGCGGUGAAAUGCGUAGAUAUCGGAAGGAACAUCAGUGGCGAAGGCGACUUCCUGGACCAAUACUGACGCUCAGGUGCGAAAGCGUGGGGAGCAAACAGG
rnacentral:rRNA from 1 species